rnacentral:rRNA from 1 species
ACGAACGCUGGCGGCGUGCUUAACACCUGCAAGUCGCACGGAAAGGCCCUGCUUUUGUGGGGUGCUCGAGUGGCGAACGGGUGAGUAACACGUGAGUAACCUGCCCUUGACUUUGGGAUAACUUCAGGAAACUGGGGCUACUACCGGAUAGGAGCUCCUGCUGCAUGGUGGGGGUUGGAAAGUUUCGGCGGUUGGGGAUGGACUCGCGGCUUAUCAGCUUGUUGGUGGGGUAGUGGCUUACCAAGGCUUUGACGGGUAGCCGGCCUGAGAGGGUGACCGGCCACAUUGGGACUGAGAUACGGCCCAGACUCCUACGGGAGGCAGCAGGGGGGAAUAUUGCACAAUGGGCGGAAGCCUGAUGCAGCAACGCCGCGUGCGGGAUGACGGCCUUCGGGUUGUAAACCGCUUUCGCCUGUGACGAAGCGUGAGUGACGGUAAUGGGUAAAGAAGCACCGGCUAACUACGUG